UGGAAUGUGGCUUAGUGGUAGAGUGCUUACCUGGCAUGCAUGAAGCCGUGGGUUCAAUUCCUCAUUUCCA
rfam:Dipodomys ordii contig_39641, whole genome shotgun sequence.